rnacentral:rRNA from 1 species
GAUGAACGCUGGCGGCGUGCCUAAUACAUGCAAGUCGAGCGAACGGACGAGAAGCUUGCUUCUCAGAUGUUAGCGGCGGACGGGUGAGUAACACGUGGAUAACCUACCUAUAAGACUGGGAUAACUUCGGGAAACCGGAGCUAAUACCGGAUAAUAUUUUGAACCGCAUGGUUCAAAAGUGAAAGACGGUCUUGCUGUCACUUAUAGAUGGAUCCGCGCUGCAUUAGCUAGUUGGUAAGGUAACGGCUUACCAAGGCAACGAUGCAUAGCCGACCUGAGAGGGUGAUCGGCCACACUGGAACUGAGACACGGUCCAGACUCCUACGGGAGGCAGCAGUAGGGAAUCUUCCGCAAUGGGCGAAAGCCUGACGGAGCAACGCCGCGUGAGUGAUGAAGGUCUUCGGAUCGUAAAACUCUGUUAUUAGGGAAGAACAUAUGUGUAAGUAACUGUGCACAUCUUGACGGUACCUAAUCAGAAAGCCACGGCUAACUACGUG